UUAUGAAUAAGGAUCGGCUAACUCCGUGCCAGCAGCCGCGGUAAUACGGAGGAUCCGAGCGUUAUCCGGAUUUAUUGGGUUUAAAGGGAGCGUAGAUGGAUGUUUAAGUCAGUUGUGAAAGUUUGCGGCUCAACCGUAAAAUUGCAGUUGAUACUGGAUAUCUUGAGUGCAGUUGAGGCAGGCGGAAUUCGUGGUGUAGCGGUGAAAUGCUUAGAUAUCACGAAGAACUCCGAUUGCGAAGGCAGCCUGCUAAGCUGCAACUGACAUUGAGGCUCGAAAGUGUGGGUAUCAAACAGGAUUAGAUACCCUGGUAGUCCACACGGUAAACGAUGAAUACUCGCUGUUUGCGAUAUACGGCAAGCGGCCAAGCGAAAGCGUUAAGUAUUCCACCUGGGGAGUACGCCGGCAACGGUGAAACUCAAAGGAAUUGACGGGGGCCCGCACAAGCGGAGGAACAUGUGGUUUAAUUCGAUGAUACGCGAGGAACCUUACCCGGGCUUAAAUUGCAGAUGAAUUACGGUGAAAGCCGUAAGCCGCAAGGCAUCUGUGAAGGUGCUGCAUGGUUGUCGUCAGCUCGUGCCGUGAGGUGUCGGCUUAAGUGCCAUAACGAGCGCAACCCUUGUUGUCAGUUACUAACAGGUUCCGCUGAGGACUCUGACAAGACUGCCAUCGUAAGAUGUGAGGAAGGUGGGGAUGACGUCAAAUCAGCACGGCCCUUACGUCCGGGGCUACACACGUGUUACAAUGGGGGGUACAGAGGGCCGCUACCACGCGAGUGGAUGCCAAUCCCAAAAACCUCUCUCAGUUCGGACUGGAGUCUGCAACCCGACUCCACGAAGCUGGAUUCGCUAGUAAUCGCGCAUCAGCCACGGCGCGGUGAAUACGUUCCCGGGCCUUGUACACACCGCCCGUCAAGCCAUGGGAGCCGGGGGUACCUGAAGUGCGUAACCGCGAGGAGCGCCCUAGGGUAAAACUGGUGACUGGGGCUAAGUCGUAACAAGGUAGCCGUACCGGAAGGUGCGGCUG
rnacentral:rRNA from 1 species